rnacentral:rRNA from 1 species
UACGUAGGGCGCAAGCGUUAUCCGGAAUUAUUGGGCGUAAAGAGCUCGUAGGCGGUCUGUCACGUCGGGAGUGAAAACUCGGGUCUUAACCCCGAGCCUGCUUCCGAUACGGGCAGACUAGAGGUAUGCAGGGGAGAAUGGAAUUCCUGGUGUAGCGGUGAAAUGCGCAGAUAUCAGGAGGAACACCGGUGGCGAAGGCGGUUCUCUGGGCAUUACCUGACGCUGAGGAGCGAAAGUGUGGGGGAGCGAACAGG